rnacentral:rRNA from 1 species
GACGAACGCUGGCGGCGUGCCUAAUACAUGCAAGUAGAACGCUGAAGGAGGAGCUUGCUCUUCUGGAUGAGUUGCGAACGGGUGAGUAACGCGUAGGUAACCUGCCUGGUAGCGGGGGAUAACUAUUGGAAACGAUAGCUAAUACCGCAUAACAGUAGAUGUUGCAUGACAUUUGCUUAAAAGGUGCAAUUGCACCACUACCAGAUGGACCUGCGUUGUAUUAGCUAGUUGGUGGGGUAACGGCUCACCAAGGCGACGAUACAUAGCCGACCUGAGAGGGGGAUCGGCCAACCUGGGACUGAGACACGGCCCAGACUCCUACGGGAGGCAGCAGUAGGGAAUCUUCGGCAAUGGACGGAAGUCUGACCGAGCAACGCCGCGUGAGGGAAGAAGGUUUUCGGAUCGUAAAGCUCUGUUGUAAGAGAAGAACGAGUGUGAGAGUGGAAAGUUCACACUGUGACGGUAUCUUACCAGAAAGGGACGGCUAACUACGUG